AUUGAACGCUGGCGGCAGGCCUCACACAUGCAAGUCGAGCGAGCGGCGGACGGGUGAGUAAUGUCUGGGAAACUGCCUGAUGGAGGGGGAUAACUACUGGAAACGGUAGCUAAUACCGCAUACCAUCAGAUGUGCCCAGAUGGGGGUAGAUAGUAGGUGGGGUAAUGGCCCACCUAGGAGACGAUCCCUCUCUGGUCUGAUAGGAUGACCAGCCACACUGUAACUGAGACACGGUCCAGACUCCUCCGGGAGGCAGCAGUGGGGAAUAUUGCACAAUGGGCGCAAGCCUGAUGCAGCCAUGCCGCGUGUAUGAAGAAGGCCUUCGGGUUGUAAAGUACUUUCAGCGAGGAGGCGUUACUCGCAGAAGAAGCACCGGCUAACUCCGUGCCAGCAGCCGCGGUAAUAC
rnacentral:rRNA from 1 species